UACGGAGGGUGCAAGCGUUAAUCGGAAUUACUGGGCGUAAAGCGCACGCAGGCGGUUUGUUAAGUCAGAUGUGAAAUCCCCGGGCUCAACCUGGGAACUGCAUUUGAAACUGGCAAGCUAGAGUCUCGUAGAGGGGGGUAGAAUUCCAGGUGUAGCGGUGAAAUGCGUAGAGAUCUGGAGGAAUACCGGUGGCGAAGGCGGCACCCUGGACGAAGACUGAGGCUAAGGUGCGGAAGCGUGGAGAGCAAACAGG
rnacentral:rRNA from 1 species